UAUCUCUGUAGAGUCUGCAUAUCAAUAAGCGGAGGAAAAGAAACUAACAAGGAUUCCCUUAGUAACGGCGAGUGAAGCGGGAAGAGCUCAAAUUUGAAAUCUUCAAGGUUCUACCUUGACGAAUUGUAGUUUAAAGAAGUGUUUUCUGUUAGAUGAGUAGCAAAAGUUCCUUGGAAUGGGACAUCAUAGAGGGUGAGAAUCCCGUAUUUGGUUAUUCAUUCUAGCUUUGUGAUACACUUUCAAAGAGUCGGAUUGUUUGGGAAUGCAGUCCAAAAUGGGUGGUAAAUUUCAUCUAAAGCUAAAUAUUGGCGAGAGACCGAUAGCGAACAAGUACCGUGAGGGAAAGAUGAAAAGAACUUUGAAAAGAGAGUUAAACAGUACGUGAAAUUGUCAAAAGGGAAGCGUUUGACACCAGUGUUGUUUUUCCGAAGAUCAAUUACGAAUGGCUUGAUUUUGUGUUGUAUUGACCUUAUCAGCUUUCUUCACUUUUUUCGAGUCUUUCUUAAUGCACUUUUCGGUUAACAAGUCAACAUCAAUUUCUUUUGUUGUAAAAGAGUAUUCGGAAGGUGGCUUUCUUUUCGGAGAAGGUGUUUAUAGCCCUAUACUUCUACAAUCGGAGAGAUUGAGGUCUGCAGCGUAGAUCCUUCGGGGUUAGAUACACUUGUGCUAAGUUAUAGCUUUUCAUAGACAACUUGUUGACUAUGUUUAGUCAUGUAGCUUACUCGUAAGUGCUAUUUUACCUACGCUUAGGAUGUUGACUGAUAUGUAGUCGU
rnacentral:rRNA from 1 species